AUUUAUUUACUCAGAUGCUGAAACAGACAUCUGGCAUAUUCCUAUAAUCAGUAUCAUGGCCUUUGUAUACAACAAAAUUGAUUGGAACUCCUAGACUAGAAAUAUAAUUCAAGAUUUAAAUAAGGCACUGGUCAUAGUUUUAGAAAGUGUGGCUAGCAUUCUGAAGGAAGACAGAGAGAUGGAAAGACAUCAAAGAAUGGGCAGGUCUGCCAAGAAAUGGUUUAUCCAGGGCUAAGUACAGAGAGGAAUAUAGAAGGGCUGUUGACAGAUCUUGUGUGGUGCCCCCAUGGUUCAACAGACUAAUUGAUUGAAAAUAAUACCAGGGUUAUGCUCCUUUGACCAUUGAGUUCCAGGAUGAAGAAUGAAAGACAGAGAGCAAUGUGAAGACAUGAAAGAAUGGGCAGGUCUGCCAUGAAAUGGUUUAUCCAGGGCUAAGUACAGAGAGGAAUAUAGAAGGGCUGUUG